GAUUGUUUUCAAUUUCCUGGUUGUACAAUGAAUUAAACUCUUAACUGUGAUGGUUAAGAUUUUUUAGAUGUAACAUCUAAGCAAGUUAGAUUCGAUUUUUAGGUUUUUAUUCCCAAAUUCUUAGGUAGUCAAAUACAUCCUAAUUUGUCUUACACUUUUUAUCCAAGUGCAAAUAGUGGGAGAAUGAACUGAUAGAACUGAUAUUCCUAGCAAUUCUUCACUCCCAUGAAAGGGGUAGAUCCAUUAAACCGAAGUGGUUGAAAACAUCAUUUAACUUAUUUGCUUAAGCAUGUAAGAAAGAUCCACUAUAUCUCACAUGACUAGCAAGUAUCAUAUUUAAGCUGUAAGUGAUCGCUCACGAGUUGGCGUCCUUCAACUUUAAACCUACAAGAGGCAAACACAGUACUUCUCUCAUAAUCGAGAAGAUCCAAUGAGCGACUAUUUCGGAAAAUGAAAAUAACUCCAACUGUUCCCACUCGGGAGGUCAUAUCAUCUCUGAUUCGUUUUGCCCCUCAAAAGCGACUGGACAUGUUAUUCGUAAGUUCAAUUUUUGUUUCUUGGGGACCAGUAACUUCACCAGGCCACUUAAAGCGCCCUUCAUAAUUGUCCUUUACCUACCAUCUUUCACUUAACUCAAAUUUUGGGGUGUAUUCUAAGUACUAUAAAAUUGAGUAAACAUUACACUUUAGCUCGCUCAUUUCCCCUUAAGACAUUCUAUCACCUUUCACAUAAUUUACAUGAUGCUCUAGAUCUAAGCUCCUUACGCCCCCCGUAUAUGCCUUUCCUUGGAGUAGAAGACAGCACGUGGGCCAAAUUUGCCAAGGAUCUUGACAUGUCUUUUCAAGUUUUUCAUUGUUCUAUAUCUUUUCCAAUUUAUCUUUUCCAAGGAUCUUGUACUGUACUUUUAAUACAAGGAAAUUCUGUAUUAAAUCUUAAAUUUCUUUGGCUGUUGAGAUCAAGAUCACUUAAUUUAUUUCACUAAAACAAAGAUUUAUAUACAUAUCAAACUUGUACUUUUGAACUUGAAUAGGCCAAUUGCCUUGAGUCAUAUUACGUAGCAGUUCCCUGCUCUCAGCUAAAACAGACACCUCUUUGUUUGCAGCCAUUUCCUCUUCAAACAAGCUCCCUCUUUGGUGGCGCAGUUCCUUCAAAUCCAACAUCAUUUGGUCCAGUUGGUGUAGGGAGUGCUCCAAGGCA
rnacentral:lncRNA from 1 species